rnacentral:hammerhead_ribozyme from 1 species
AUUCAGCUGAUGAUUCCCAAAUAGGACGAAACGCGCGUCAAAUUGGAU